rnacentral:rRNA from 1 species
AACGAACGCUGGCGGCAUGCCUAACACAUGCAAGUCGAACGAGACCUUCGGGUCUAGUGGCGCACGGGUGCGUAACGCGUGGGAACCUGCCCUUAGGUUCGGAAUAACUCCCCGAAAGGGGUGCUAAUACCGGAUAAUGUCUUCGGACCAAAGAUUUAUCGCCUUUGGAUGGGCCCGCGUUGGAUUAGCUAGUUGGUAGGGUAAAAGCCUACCAAGGCGACGAUCCAUAGCUGGUCUGAGAGGAUGAUCAGCCACACUGGGACUGAGACACGGCCCAGACUCCUACGGGAGGCAGCAGUGGGGAAUAUUGGACAAUGGGCGAAAGCCUGAUACAGCAAUGCCGCGUGAGUGAUGAAGGCCUUAGGGUUGUAAAGCUCUUUUACCCGGGAUGAUAAUGACAGUACCGGGAGAAUAAGCACCGGCUAACUACGUG